GCCAGGCAUGGUAGUGCGUGCCUGUAGUCCCAGCUACUUGGGAGGCUGAGAUGGGAGGAUCACUUGGGCCCAGGAGUUCUGGGCUGUAGUGCACUAUGCUGAUUGGGUGUCCAAAGUAAGUUCGGUGUCGAUAUGGUGGCCUCCGGGAGUGGGGGACCACCAGGUUGCCUAAGGAGGGGUGAAUUGGCCCAGGUCGGAAAUGGAGCAGGUCAAAACUCCCAUGCUGAUUAGUAGUGGGAUCGCAUCUGUGAAUAGCCACUGCACUCCAGCCUGGGCUAUAUAUAUAUAUAU
ensembl:misc_RNA Metazoa_SRP Metazoan signal recognition particle RNA